rnacentral:tRNA from 1 species
GGGGAUGUAGCUCAGUGGUAGAGUGCUUGCCUAACACGCAUGAGGUCCUCGCUUGAAUCCCCA